rnacentral:rRNA from 1 species
UGGGGAAUAUUGCACAAUGGGCGCAAGCCUGAUGCAGCGACGCCGCGUGAGGGAUGGAGGCCUUCGGGUUGUAAACCUCUUUCGCCAGUGAAGCAGGCCAUCUUCUUCGCGGGGUGGUUGACGGUAGCUGGAUAAGAAGCGCCGGCUAACUACGUGCCAGCAGUCGCGGUAAUACGUAGGGCGCGAGCGUUGUCCGGAAUUAUUGGGCGUAAAGAGCUCGUAGGCGGCUGGUCGCGUCUGUCGUGAAAUCCCCGGGCUUAACUGGGGGCUGGCGGUGGGUACGAGCCGGCUUCAGAGCGGUAGGGGAGAAUGGAGUUCCUGGUGUAGCGGUGGAAUGCACAGAUAUCAGGUGGAACGCCGGUGGCGAGGGCGGGUCUCUGGGCCGUUACUGUCGCUGAGGAGCGAAAGCGGGGGGAGCGAACAGG